rnacentral:rRNA from 1 species
GACGAACGCUGGCGGCGUGCCUAACACAUGCAAGUCGAGCGGAGACAAUGGAGCAGCUUGCUGCGAAAUUGUUUUAGCGGCGGACGGGUGAGUAACGCGUGAGCAACCUUUCUCUCAGUGGGGAAUAACACCGGGAAACUGGUACUAAUACCGCAUGAGACCACAACAGGGCAAUCCUGAAGAGGUCAAAGAUUAAUCGCUGAGAGGUGGGCUCGCGUCUGAUUAGAUAGUUGGUGGGGUAACGGCCUACCAAGUCGACGAUCAGUAGCCGACCUGAGAGGGUGAUCGGCCACAUUGGGACUGAGACACGGCCCAAACUCCUACGGGAGGCAGCAGUGGGGAAUAUUGGGCAAUGGGGGAAACCCUGACCCAGCAACGCCGCGUGAAGG